UUCGCAAUGCCCGAAAGGGUGACGAAGCGACGCCGCGUGCGGGAAGAAGGCCUUCGGGUUGUAAACCGCUGUCGGGAGUUAAGAAAUGUAAGGAUGUUAAUAGCAUCUUUGCUUGACUAAGGCUCCGGAGGAAGCCACGGCUAACUCUGUGCCAGCAGCCGCGGUAAUACAGAGGCGGCAAGCGUUGUUCGGAAUUAUUGGGCGUAAAGAGCACGUAGGCGGCUAUGUAAGUCGGUUGUGAAAGCCUUCCGCUCAACGGGAGAACAGCAUCCGAUACUGCAUGGCUUGAGUGCGGGAGGGGAGAGUGGAACUUCUGGUGGAGCGGUGAAAUGCGUAGAUAUCAGAAGGAACGCCGGCGGCGAAAGCGGCUCUCUGGCCCAUAACUGACGCUGAGUGUGCGAAAGCUAGGGGAGCAAACGGGAUUAGAUACCCCGGUAGCCCUAGCCGUAAACGAUGGGCACUAAGUAGAGGGGUUUU
rnacentral:rRNA from 1 species